rnacentral:rRNA from 1 species
AGAACGAACGCUGGCGGCAUGCCUAAUACAUGCAAGUCGAACGAACACUUCGGUGUUAGUGGCGCACGGGUGCGUAACGCGUGGGAAUCUGCCCUUGGGUUCGGAAUAACAGUUGGAAACGACUGCUAAUACCGGAUGAUAUCGAAAGAUCAAAGAUUUAUCGCCCAGGGAUGAGCCCGCGUAGGAUUAGCUAGUUGGUGAGGUAAAGGCUCACCAAGGCGACGAUCCUUAGCUGGUCUGAGAGGAUGAUCAGCCACACUGGGACUGAGACACGGCCCAGACUCCUACGGGAGGCAGCAGUAGGGAAUAUUGGACAAUGGGCGCAAGCCUGAUCCAGCAAUGCCGCGUGAGUGAUGAAGGCCUUAGGGUUGUAAAGCUCUUUUACCCGAGAUGAUAAUGACAGUAUCGGAAGAAAUAAGCCCCGGCUAACUCCGUGCCAGCAGCCGC